rnacentral:rRNA from 1 species
UACGUAGGUGGCAAGCGUUGUCCGGAUUUACUGGGCGUAAAGGGCGUGCAGGCGGUUUGUUUAGUCUAGGGUGAAAGCUCCCGGCUUAACUGGGAGAGGUCCUUGGAUACUGGCAAACUUGAGGGAGGCAGAGGAAAGUGGAAUUCCCGGUGUAGUGGUGAUAUGCGUAGAUAUCGGGAAGAACACCCGUGGCGAAGGCGGUUCUCUGGGACGGUACUGACGCUGAGACGCGAAAGCGUGGGGAGCGAACAGG